rnacentral:lncRNA from 1 species
AACUGUUCCAAUUUUGUCUCUUGAAGAAGUAAAUGAGUUAUAUUGAGUUCUAUUCUAUUAGAAUAGAAAUAUGUUAGAAUAGAAAUAUUUUAAAUAUCCCUCAAAAAAUUUGAGACUUAAACUAAAUUUAAAAAAUAUUUUUUUAGCAUUUUAAUUUUUUUGAAAUAUAUUCAUAGAGUUAUAUUUUGUUAGUGGGCCGUUAAGAACCGCCGUUAUUUCUGUAAAAUUAUUAUUUUGCCUAUCAAAUAUAUCAUUUUACCGUCACCAACUUGUCUUAUUUAUCCUUAAAUUAGGAGUAAAAGAAAUAUUUUAAUUUUUUGUCCUUUCAAAUAUACCUUCUAUUAUUACCAAAUUUUCUUAUUUGUUCUUAAGUUAGGGACAAAAAAGAUAUUUUGACUUUCUUUUAAUUCCGAUAGAAAUUUAUCCCCAGUUUAAUCAGAGAUGACUUAACGGGCAUUAAUAAUGAGAUUAUUUUCGACUAACGGAGAAAUAUACGAGGAUUAUAAUUGAAACAGAAAAAGUAGAAAUAUAUAUAUGAUAUUUCAGAAGUUUUGAGGGUUAUAUAAGAUAUUAUUCCUUAAUAUAAUUAGCAUAUGCAUAUAAAUACA